AAUUAUUAUGUUUGUGUUUGCAAUAUGCAAUUGUUAAAUCGAUAAGUGACAACAACAAAGAAAAUGAAAAAUCAACCACACCCAUAAACUAAACAUGAAACGCUGGAUACAAGAUAUUAAAUCCUCUCUGGGACAACAAUACUAAAACUACCAUCAGACCACCUAGUUACCUACCUACUAACUAGAAGGAUAAUGGAAAUAAGAUACAG